rnacentral:rRNA from 1 species
UACGUAGGUGGCAAGCGUUGUCCGGAUUUACUGGGCGUAAAGAGCGCGCAGGCGGUCGUUCAAGUCGCGUGUGAAAGCCCCCGGCUCAACUGGGGAGGGUCACGCGAUACUGAUCGACUCGAAGGCAGGAGAGGGUAGUGGAAUUCCCGGUGUAGUGGUGAAAUGCGUAGAUAUCGGGAGGAACACCAGUGGCGAAGGCGACUACCUGGCCUGUUAUUGACGCUGAGGCGCGAAAGCUAGGGGAGCAAACGGG